rnacentral:misc_RNA from 1 species
GCAAACUUGGUCAUUUAGAGGAAGUAAAAGUCGUAACAAGGUUUCCGUAGGUGAACCUGCGGAAGGAUCAUUACUGAAGAAAUGAUAGGGUUGAGCUGAUUCUUAUUAGAGUAUGUGCUCGCACUAUCGCUUUUUCUAUUCUCCACUGUGAACCCUUUGUGGACUUGUUUUAUGAUAUUUGGCUUCUUUUACAGGAGUUCAUUGAGGCUUGCACUUUUUGGGUGCUCGACUCUAACCUUUAUCAUAUCAGUCUAUGAUUUUAUCAACUCCUUCAGUAUAUGAAUGUCUUUUUGUUGGUUGGUAAUACCAAUAAAUUUGUUAUACAACUUUCAGCAACGGAUCUCUUGGCUCUCGCAUCGAUGAAGAACGCAGC